UGCCCUCUCACUUAAUUUUCUAUAUAAAUGAAAAAAAUAAUAAUAAGAUAGGAAGAUUAUAUAUAUAUAUACAUAUAUAACCUGCAGCAGAAAAAGUUUUAGUAUAUACUAUAUAUAAAUAUAAGCAAAUCAAAGCAUAAAAUAACGGUGAUGAUAGAUAUAACCCAAUGUGUCUAUCCUCUAUAAUCUAUUUAUGUAAUAUUCUGUCAUCAUUGAUUGUACAGUCAAAAACUCGGAGGCAAAAAUAAAAAAAAAAAAAAGAAAAAAAAAAUAUUUCGAUGGCCGGUCUCGAUAAUUGAUCAAGCUUCAGAGGCGUCGGGCGAGAGUUGUUGGCGACGAUGGGGAAUUUUUUUAAUUUUACCUCUCGCGUUUGAAAUUUUCUUGAUUUGAUUUGUUGAAUUGAUCAGAUAUCGAGGUCGAGGGAUCCUUUGCCUUUGUUGUCUUCGGUGGUAGUUAUUAGGCCUUAAAAACUGGAGAGAUGGGAUUGAGGAUGA
rnacentral:lncRNA from 1 species